UCGAGGAUCUUCGGCAAUGGGCGCAAGCCUGACCGAGCGACGCCGCGUGGGCGAUGAAGGCCUUCGGGUUGUAAAGCCCUGUCGAGGGGGAGAAAAGCGCAAGCUUGAUCUAUCCCUGGAGGAAGCACGGGCUAAGUUCGUGCCAGCAGCCGCGGUAAGACGAACCGUGCGAACGUUGUUCGGAAUCACUGGGCUUAAAGGGCGCGUAGGCGGGCCGCCAAGUCCGGGGUGAAAUCCUCCAGCUUAACUGGAGAACUGCCCCGGAUACUGGAGGUCUCGAGGAGGGUAGGGGCAUGCGGAACUAUGGGUGGAGCGGUGAAAUGCGUUGAUAUCCAUAGGAACUCCGGUGGCGAAGGCGGCGUGCUGGACCCUUUCUGACGCUGAGGCGCGAAAGCCAGGGGAGCAAACGGGAUUAGAUACCCCCGUAGUCC
rnacentral:rRNA from 1 species